UCUGGGAAGCCUGGGCAGCAG
rnacentral:miRNA from 1 species